UGGCUCAAUGGUAGAGCACUUGCCUAGCAUGCCAGAGGCCCUGGGUUUGAACCCCAG
rnacentral:tRNA from 1 species